UGCAACCCCUAGGAUUAAGGGUCCCCA
rnacentral:piRNA from 1 species